UACGUAGGUGGCGAGCGUUGUCCGGAAUUAUUGGGCGUAAAGGGAGCGCAGGUGGGAAAGUAAGUCUGCUUUAAAAGUGCGGGGCUCAACCCCGUGAGGGAGUGGAAACUACUUUUCUUGAGUGCAGGAGAGGAAAGCGGAAUUCCUAGUGUAGCGGUGAAAUGCGUAGAGAUUAGGAAGAACAUCAGUGGCGAAGGCGGCUUUCUGGACUGUAACUGACGCUGAGGCAUGAAAGCGUGGGGAGCAAACAGG
rnacentral:rRNA from 1 species